rnacentral:rRNA from 1 species
ACUGGCAGCCAUACCACCUGCAGUUCAGACUAGGUAAUCCACCUGAAGCUAAACAGGUUUGGGCCUGGUCAGUACUUGGAGGAGAGCCCAAUUAGGAGAGCUGGGUUGCUGUGGAAG